rnacentral:rRNA from 1 species
GUUAAGCGACUAAGCGUACACGGUGGAUGCCCUGGCAGUCAGAGGCGAUGAAGGACGUGCUAAUCUGCGAUAAGCGUCGGUAAGGUGAUAUGAACCGUUAUAACCGGCGAUUUCCGAAUGGGGAAACCCAGUGUGAUUCGUCACACUAUCAUUAACUGAAUCCAUAGGUUAAUGAGGCGAACCGGGGGAACUGAAACAUCUAAGUACCCCGAGGAAAAGAAAUCAACCGAGAUUCCCCCAGUAGCGGCGAGCGAACGGGGAGCAGCC